rnacentral:lncRNA from 1 species
GGACACUGUAACGGCACCCCCCCCCCCCCCGCCACACACACACACAGAGAAAAUCUUACUUAAGCUUCUCCAGAAAUAUUCAUCAUAAUUGAGUUUUAGAACUGUCGGAGUCUCUACAAAAAUGUGCAAUGUAGCUAAACUUCCUAUUUUCCUGUUGCUCUAUUUUACUUGGCCACUGGCUUGGAAGAGAUCAGCACUCCAGGUACCAAAUGCCCCUUUUCCUAGUUUUUCACAAACAUUUAUCCAGUAUAGUAGUUUGUAAAAUAUGUGUUUGUGAAUGCAAAAUGUGAUUAAAAAAGACACAUCCUUUAAUAAGGCCUCUGGCGUUUGCUGGAGCUUCAUAGAGAUGUCUACAUUUCUCAGAGAAGAGAAGUCACCAAUUGGGCUCCAUGGCAACAGCUGACAAGGAAAGGGAAGAUAGGGGAUAAGAAGCUCUCCCCUUCUCAGGCACUGUCCUUGAAGGAUUAACUUGCCCAGAACAGUGAAAUAAAAAGCUGCUUUUAUAUGAACUUCUGCAGACUGUGAACUCCUGAGCCCCCUCUUUCUCCUCCCACCCCUCUGCCCUAUCUAGAGUUCAUCUAUUCCUCCCAUGCUUCCCCUCCCUAGCCCACUAUGAAUCAGCCUGGGUAUAAAGUUCUGAAACUACCUGAACUCGGGGUUCAAGGGAUUAAUUGAUUUCAGUGAAAGCUGUACCCUCUGAACCUGGCUGCAGCCAAAUAAAACUGUUUCCUG